rnacentral:sRNA from 2 species
CUUCGACUAAGGUUCGAUUCGAGCGCAGCGAGAACGCGUUGCCGCAGGCAACGACCCGAAGGGCGAAGCGCGCAGCGCUGAGUCAUCCUUCCCCCACCACCA